rnacentral:rRNA from 1 species
CCUACGGGAGGCUGCAGUGGGGGAUAUUGCACAAUGGGGGGAACCCUGAUGCAGCGACGCCGCGUGGGUGAAGAAGCGCCUCGGCGCGUAAAGUCCUGUCAGCAGGGAAGAAAAUGACGGUACCUGAAGAAGAAGCCCCGGCUAACUACGUGCCAGCAGCCGCGGUAAUACGGAGGGGGCAAGCGUUAUCCGGAUUUACUGGGUGUAAAGGGGGCGCAGACGGCGUAGCAAGCCAGAAGUGAAAUCCCGUGGCUUAACCCCGGGACUGCUUUUGGAACUGCUUGGCUAGAGUGCGGGAGGGGCAGGCGGAAUUCUUGGUGUAGGGGUGAAAUGCGUAGAGAUCAGGAGGAACACCGGUGGCGAAGGCGACCUGCUGGACUGCAACUGACGUUGAGGCCCGAAAGCGUGGGGAGCAAACAGGAUUAGAUACCCUAGUAGUC